UACGUAGGUCCCGAGCGUUGUCCGGAUUUAUUGGGCGUAAAGCGAGCGCAGGUGGUUUAUUAAGUCUGGUGUAAAAGGCAGUGGCUCAACCAUUGUAUGCAUUGGAAACUGGUAGACUUAAGUGCAGGAGAGGAGAGUGGGAUUCCAUGUGUAGCGGUGAAAUGCGUAGAUAUAUGGAGGAACACCGGUGGCGAAAGCGGCUCUCUGGCCUGUAACUGACACUGAGGCUCGAAAGCGUGGGGAGCAAACAGG
rnacentral:rRNA from 1 species